GUCACUAACUUUUUCAGAUAUUUUUGAGAACUAAGAACUGUGUGACUAGAUACUUACAUUCUAACCCUUGCCCCCUUUAAUAACUACUUUUUAAAAUAAACAAUGGAAACCAUCUAAACACGUGGCAAGGCUCUAUACAUUUUUAGAGAAUUUGGCAUUUAAUAUAAUUGUUUAUAUAGCUGAAUUCAGUGACUAAAGAGGCUCAGAGAUUAGAUCUUUGGAAAAUAUGUUCACCAGCCAUCUAGCAUCUGCUUAACUAGAAAAGAGUCUAUUUAAAAAAAAAAAAAAAAAAAAGACAAAAUGACAGAUCCGAGAUAUGAGGAGAGGAAAGAAAUGGGCAGAAAUGGGAUAUGAUGUUUGAUGACACUAAUAUUUGAAUUGGCAUAAAAUGCCCCAGUGCUUACAAAUUGAUUCCCUACCUACACUUUAUUCCUGUCCAGUGCUGCUAUAUAGGGCCAUCUGUAAAGUGCAGCCCAUCACUAGGCAAGCACAGUAUCAGUGUUGUGCAGGCAGGCUACAUUGAGACCCAAUACACUGGCCAAUCAUGGGAAUACUGGGUCAUCAUGAUCAGCCACCAGGAGUUCUCUAUAUAUGAUGACACCCAAGCCCACCUGAAAAAGAAAAAAAAUAGUGAAGGAGACAUUUGCUAUCUGGGCCAGGACACUGGGAUUAACAUCCCAGAUAAACAGAAGAGACUAAGGCUGCCCCAAUCCCCAGGGGUAGAGAGUUAACCAGGAGAGCAUGGAUUCGCCAGGAGAGGCCUCAGUCUGAGAUGCUCCUAGAUUGUCUUAGAGGACUGCUUUUGAGUGUGACAUCACAGGGCCACUAGAAAGAUGAAAAGCAUAGGUUGCUGGAGGACAUCAUUUUCACCACAUGGCAAAAGCUUGGCUGCAGUAGGAGGGAAUGAAGCCAAUGGAAACCACAAUGAGAGACUACCUUGGGGUGAGCCUCCUGAUGAUCUUCUUGGAGGCCCUGAAACUACUUGAGGUUACUAGUUCUAUUUCCAGACUUCCCAGUUACGUAACCCUUUGGGCUAAGCUGAGGAGAGUUGGUUUUCUGGCAUAUACAACCAGAAUGAACAGACCAACUCAGUAGUUGUUUGGCAUUAUGUAUUUCCUCAUACUUAUGGGAGUAGAACCACAGAAAUGAGAGCUUAUAACUCAAACAUGCUAAAAAAUAGUACUCUAGAACAUAGAGAAACAGAAUAAAAGGAUUGUGGGAGUAGGGGCCAUUAUUUCCAUAGUAUAAUUGGCAUUGUAAUUAAUAAUCUAGCUAAUUACAUCUAUUACACCUUUCUUCUGAAUGUCUUUAUGUACUAAUUCACUUAAUCCUCCCCAAAACCCACUGAGGUAGGUGCUAAUAUUAUUGUCCCCAUUUUGCAGGCGAGGAAAAUCAAGGCAUAGAGACUGAGUAACUUGCCUGAUGUUUUCCAGCUAGGAAAUGGAAGACCUGUGGUCCAGAUUCCAGUUGAUGACAUGUUGGUAGCUUGAAGUCAGCCUCAGUGUGAUUAUUGAAACCAGAUCAGCCAAUGGUACAUAUCAGGGCUCCUCUCCUUCUAUAAAGCCGGCUGGUCAAGCUACCUGUGAUGGAGCCCAGGCUUCCAAAGAAGAAGCAGAUUGCAGAGUGGGAAUGAUCGAAAAGACUGAUCAUUGAGAAGACUGAUACUCUAGCGCUGGUGAAAGUUUGGGGAACUUCGGAUGGUUGUGUAAAUCGGUGCAAACUUGCUGGGGGAAGGAUACUUCUUGGAGGAAAAAUUUGGCAACAUGUAGAAAAGCCUUUUUUAAAAGUCUUGGCUGGAGAAAGGGAUGAAAGGAUGGGGUAACUGGUGAUGGACAUUGGAGAGGGUCAUGUGUUGUAAUGAGCACGGGGUAUUAUUUAAGAGUGGUGAACCACAGACCUGUAUCCUGACACAAAUAAUACAUUAUAUGUUAAU